UGACCGCUGGCGGCGUGCCUACUACAUGCAAGUCGAGCGAACAGAUGAGGAGCUUGCUCCUCUGACGUUAGCGGCGGACGGGUGAGUAACACGUGGAUAACCUACCUAUAAGACUGGGAUAACUUCGGGAAACCGGAGCUAAUACCGGAUAAUAUAUUGAACCGCAUGGUUCAAUAGUGAAAGACGGUUUUGCUGUUACUUAUAGAUGGAUCCGCGCCGCAUUAGCUAGUUGGUAAGGUAACGGCUUACCAAGGCAACGAUGCGUAGCCGACCUGAGAGGGUGAUCGGCCACACUGGAACUGAGACACGGUCCAGACUCCUACGGGAGGCAGCAGUAGGGAAUCUUCCGCAAUGGGCGAAAGCCUGACGGAGCAACGCCGCGUGAGUGAUGAAGGUCUUCGGAUCGUAAAACUCUGUUAUUAGGGAAGAACAAAUGUGUAAGUAACUAUGCACGUCUUGACGGUACCUAAUCAGAAAGCCACGGCUAACUACGUG
rnacentral:rRNA from 1 species